CAUUCUUUAUUUGGAUUAAAAGGUGUUCAAUUGCAACAAGAGUUGUGUUAUGUCUCGGUUAAAUUCGUUGUUUUUUACGGCCUCGGAAGCCAAUGAGCCUGUUAAUCUGGCUUCCUACGGAACCAAUCUAAGAAAUCUACGGAACCAAUUGGAUCCGUUGCAGUUGUCCGAUGCAGAGUUUAAAGCAAACUUAAGAGUGACAAAACCUUUGUUCAAUGAAAUUCUUUCAAAAAUUGAACAUUUAAUAGCUCCACGGCAUAACCGUGGCCUAUUAGGUAGGGUGAAGCUAGCGUCAACGUUAAGAUUCCUAGCGCAAGGCUCCUAUCAAAAAAGGAGUGGGAAACGAGUUUAAUACAGCGAUAGCACAAUCAACGUUUUCAGAAACGUUAGAGCAAACGUUAACAGCAAUGGAACGGGAACUGGCUUACACCAUUAAUGUUAAUUUAACAAACCAAGAAAAAGUAGAUGCCAAUAGUUACUUUUACGAAAAACUACCGGUUGAAAAUGUUGCUAUGUGUGUUGAUGGAUCACAUAUAAGAAUAAUUGCACCUCACGAAAACCCUACUGAUUAUUACAAUCGUAAAGGUUUUUAUAGUCUAAAUGCAUUAAUGAUAUGUGACCACAGAUCAUUAAUACGUUUUGUGGACGCAAGAUUCUUUGGCUCUGAUCACGAUUCCUAUAUAUUCAACUCAAGUCCUAUUUCUUCGUACUUAGACAAUAAGUGGAACUCUGGAGAACGUAUAAAGAUCUUAGGAGAUUCAGCAUAUCCAGCAAAACCUUGGCUGAUAAAACCAAAUAGAAAUUCUGCAUCCGGAAGCUCAGAAGCGUUGUUUAACACACAGCAUGCCAAUGCACGGAGUAUUAUUGAAAGAACAAUCGGAGCGCUAAAAAACAGAUUUCGUUGCAUUCAUGCCGAACGACAGCUUCAUUAUACACCCAAAAAAUGUAUUAAAAUUGUCAACGUUUGCUGCAUGCUGCACAAUCUCUUGAUUAUGAACGGAAUAAUAUUGGAUGAAUAACUCAAUUCAUUCAGACUAAACACCAAUAAUCUAAUCUGCUAUUCAAUUAUCCUAAGUACA